rnacentral:misc_RNA from 1 species
GAUGAAGAACGUAGCGAAAUGCGAUAAGUAAUGUGAAUUGCAGAAUUCAGUGAAUCAUCGAAUCUUUGAACGCACAUUGCGCCCCUUGGUAUUCCGAGGGGCAUGCCUGUUCGAGCGUCAUUAUAACCCUCAAGCUCAGCUUGGUGUUGGGGCCUGCUGCACUGGCAGCCCUUAAAACCAGUGGCGGCGCCAUCUGGCUCUAAGCGUAGUAAUUCUUCUCGCUAUGGAGUCCUGGUGGAUGCUUGCCAUCAACCCCCAAUUUUUCUAUGGUUGACCUCGGAUCAGGUAGGGAUACCCGCUGAACUUAAGCAUAUCAAUAAGCGGAGGA